AUAAUAAUAAUAAUUCUUAUUAUUAUCCAUUUUUAUCUUGAUUGAGAUGCAACCAUUGCUCUUUGUGGCUUGAAAAAUCCUGCGAGUAAAUCCCUUACUGGCCGCCUUCCUAAUGCAUUUGAUGUGCAGUAUUAUGGGAAAGGCAGCAUCGUUGCUCCAUUGGUGCCGGAUUGAAAUGAGCGAAAUCCUUUUCAAAAUGUAUAUAUAAUGUUUAUGUAUGAAGGAGGACCAAAGGGAGGUUGCUCACACGGAAGCAUUGCAUCCGGAUAGCAAAGAUAGAUGGGAUUAAAGCUCCAAAAUGGAUACUUGGAUUAAAGGCAUACUCCGGGCGAGAUGCUCCAUCACAAAUGGGGAUAAUGUUGUGUGGUUGGUGCAAUGUCUCCAAAAUAAAAAAUAAUACCGUAUAUACUUGAGUAUAAGCCAACCCGAAUAUAAGCUGAGGCACCUAAUUUUACCACAAAAAAAACUGGGAAAACAUUGACACCAGUAUAAGCCAAGGGUGGUAAAUUUCAGAAUUAAAAACAGAUACCAAUAAAAUCACAUUAAUUGAAGCAUCAGUAGGUUAAAUGUUUUUGAAUGUUUACAUCAAGCUCUAAUUUAAUGCUAGUAUUGUACUAUGCUAAUAAUAUAAUAUAUUUUAUGUGAAUGUAAUUUGAAAGCUGCUCUGAGUCCCUUUUGGGGUGAGAAGGGCGGCAUAUAAAUGUAGUAAAUAAAUAAAGAAAUAAAUAAAUUAAGAUAAGACUGUCCAACUCCGAUCAAAUCAUUAUUCUCAUCUUCUUCAAUGUAAAUGUGCUUAUGUGUCCUUUUAAUAAUAAUAGAGUAAAAUAAUACAUGUAAUAAUAAUAAUAAUAAUAAUAAUAAUAAUAAUAAUAAAUAAUACAGGAAAAUAAUACAUGUAGUAAUAAAUAGAGUAAAAGAAUAAAUGUAAUAAUAAUAAUAAGAUCAGAGUGGAAUAAUAAAUGUAUUAAUAAUAAUAAUAGAAAUAGAGUAAAAUAAAUGUAAUUGUAGCAACAAUAACAGAGAAAAAUAAUAAAUGUAAUCAUAAUAAUAAUAAUAAGAUCAGAGUGAAAUAAUAAAUGUAUUAAUAGCAAUUAAAAAUAGAGUAAAAUAAAUGUAAUAGUAGCAACAAUAAUAGAGAAAAAUAAUAAAUGUAAUAUAGUAGAGUCUCUCUUAUCCAACAUAAACGGGCCAGCAGAAUGGAUUAAGGAAAAGCCCAUUAAACAUCAAAUUAGGUCAUGAUUUUACAAAUUAAGCACCAAAACAUCAUAUUAUACAAGACAUUUGACAGAAAAAGUAGUUCAAUAUGCAGUAAUGCUAAGUAGUAAUUAUUGUAUUUUCAAAUUUAGCACCAAAAUAUCACAAUGUAUUGAAAACAUUGACUACAAAAAUGCGUUGGAUAAUCCAGAAUGUUGGAUAAGCAAGUGUUGGAUAAGUGAGACUCUACUGUAUUAAUAAUAAUAAAAAAUAGAGUAAAAUAAAUGUAAUAGUAGCAACAAUAAUAAAGAAAUAUAAUAAAUGUAAUAAUACCAAUAAUAAUAGAGAAAAAUAAUAAAUGUAAUAAUACCAAUAAUAAUAGAAAAAAAUAAUAAAUGUACCAUAUAUUCUUGAGUAUAAGCUGACCCAAAUAUAAGCCAACCAGGAUCCUCACCCGAGUAUAAGCCGAGGGGGGCUUUUUCAGUCUUAAAAAAAGGGCUGAAAAACUAGGCUUAUACUCAAGUAUAUACAGUAAUUUAAUAUGUAUUUUUCGAAGCAUUUUGACUGUACCUCCCCUUCCCCUCCACUCCCUGUUUAUGUUGUUCCUUAUCAAUGCUGAAUUGUUUGUAUAUAUUAAAAAGUAAUGACAAAUGACUGGAAAAGUAACUAGUGGUGCAAGAAAUCAUUUGUAGAAAAUGUUGGGGAAAUUAUAUCAAGAAAUCGGACCCCCAAGAUGGAAUGUAUAAUGAAAUGUAUUAAAGCAUGAAAUAUAAGCUCCACCAGACCCAGCGAGCGAGCGCUUUUGUCUCACCUAAAAACCUUUGUUAUGAAUUGCCUUUGGGAUGUUGUCCGGUCGCACCCAAAUCACCUUCCUUUAAUUUCCAUAUUUAUUUAUUGCACUUCUAUACCACUUUUCUUAUCCCUAGGGUCUCUUUGGCCUCAAAGCGGUUCCCAACAUAAUCAAUGGCAAAAUUCAGUGCCUUACAUGCAUAAAACAACACAUAUCAAAACAACAAUGACCAUAGAUAGAUUAAAACCAUUAAAAUUGUAAAACUAUAAAACAGUCACACACAAUACAUAAAACAUUUAGCCCUUGAACAAUCCCAAUGAUAUCUUGAACUACUUCCAUAUUUCCAUGUUUUUGACGUUUGCCAAGUGCCGUCUGCAGAGAUGUGGCAGGGAGGAAUUUUUAUAUCCCACCGCUGCCGCCAAUUUUGUGGAGAUGUGGGGUAGAGGAGGAAUCUUUUUAUUAAUUAUUUUAUUAUAUAUUUAACUAUAUCCGCUGCCACCAAUAUAAAUAUGUUUUAUUUAACCACCAAUUGUGGAGAUGUCAGGCAGAGGGGAAUUUAUCUUCUUUAUUCUUCUUAUUUACUUUAGAUGGUAUCAUAACUUAGUUUUGAAUAUAUGUGACAGAGACUUGGAUAUGGAAGAACAAAAACAAGUUUAUUUCAGGCACUGAGCUUAGUGGUUAUAGUAACUUCUUUAAAGGCAUUUAGAUAAUGGUUUCAAAGUUAUGAACUGAUCACUUUGGAUCUAACUGGGAUUACUUCCCCUUACUACUCAGACUCUACAAAUAAACCUAAACAAGUCUCCUAACUUGCUUAAUUCAACACCACCAGAGAUCUGAGUUUCCCUGGUAUCCCUAACCUGGAACCAGUGUCUUCCCUGUGACUAAAAAUCACAGACUAAACUGGUUUUUAAAACAUUCCCUCCUUUUCCUUCAAACGGCGGUUGGCUCCGCCCUCGUUACUAUGGUAACCUGCCUCAGAAUGCUGAGCUGGUUACCAUCCCCCUCGCACUGGUAACUAAUACUUACCCUUUUAAACAUAGCCAAACAUGACUUUUAAAACGAAAUUAAACAAACAUGACAUCUAUAAAUCAAAAUAAAAACACACUUCUUUACACCGUCUUUUAUAAAAAUAAUAAUUUUUAUUAAGAUUUUAUUCCGUGUACAUGAUUAAAAGGGAAAGGUAAGUGAGGAAAGAUUGGGGGGGUGGAAGUUGAAUAUGGGGAAAAAGAGAGAGAGAAAAGCAGCUUUAUAGGUAAGUAGUCUGGGAUGUGGGGUUUUAGCAGGGUAAAAAGUCCUAUUUGGUCUUCCAUUUUCUAUUCUGUGGUAUUAUUUUCAUUUCUUAUUUGUUUUUCCUUUAUAUUCUGGUCUAUUUCAUAGUUUCCAACCUCGGAUUCCCCUUUUGUUUAAUUUUCCUUUGACUUUUUCUUGUAUUCUUCAUAUUUUUCCCAGUCUGUCCUUUUUCUUGCAUUUCCUCUGCUUGAUUUCAUUAAGUAUGUUAACUUGUCCAUAUCAUAUAUUUCGUCCAGUUUCUCUAACCAUUGUUGUCUUGUUGGGAUUUCUUUUUGUUUCCAAUAUCUCAGAAAGGUUAUUCUUGCAGCUGUCACUGCAUAUGUAAAAAUAAUAUCCUCAUUCUGAUUAAAGUUUAUUGCCUUCUCCGUUAGUCCAAGUAAGUAAAAUUCUGGCUUCAUUGGGAAUGAUUUUUGUAAUAUUUUCUGUGUUUCUUCAUGUAUUAUUUUCCCAAAAAAAUAUUGUUUCUGGGCAAGUCCACCAGAUAAGGAAGUAAGUCCCUUCUUGUUUUUUUUACAUUUCCAACAUUUGUUUUGUGUAUGUUUGUACAUUAUUCCUAAAUUUUUUUGGUGUUAUAUGCUAUCGGUGAAACAUUUUAAGCCAAUUUUCUUGUAAAUCUGAGGCAUACGUAUACUUUAGUUUCUUAUUCCAAAUUAUUUCCCACUCCGACAUCAUGAUUUGGCAUCUGAAUUUUUUUGCACAUUUAAUGGCACAAUUUUUGACGGUUUCUGACUUAGUUGACAAUUCUAAUAGUUUUUUAUAAAUCCAAUUUAUAUAAGAAACUGCAACAGGUUUAUAUGUAUACUUAUGUGAAGUGUUGCCAUAUUUAUGUUAUGUUAAGAGUUAUACAAUUCCAGUUGCAUAAUAAUAUAAUUAUUGGAUACUUAAUUUAGAAUAUAUGUUGCUUUUUUGGAACAAAUUCUGCAAAUAGAUUAACAUUAGUUGUUGGAUAUACAACAGGGACAGUGUUAUGGUUUGUCACUGAUUUCAUUUAAAUCCAGUUCAGACUUAAGUAGGUACGUCACCACAACCCCUUUCUUAUAUAAGUUGGAUACUGUGAUGUCUCAGGCACCUUUGGCCCAUGACCCCGCAGCCAUCAUAGAUCAAACUGAAGAGGAUUUGGGCUUUCUUCCAUCUCAGCAAGAUUCCGUCCCUUUCCAGAUGUCUCCUGUUGACAUUUUCAUGCCAGAGCCAAUUAGAGACGCCCUUGGAACAGAGCCUGGUUCUCCGGAAAGUUUGGUCUUUCAUAGAAGGGCUUUUCUCAAAACAAAUCGUUCCCAAAGGCAGAUUUUAAGGAGAAGCAUGAGAUUAGCGGAGAGAGGCGAUUGUGGCUAAAUCGUUUCCCUUGGGAAGUUUCGGGGAGGCAGGCAUCUGGUGCGAUGUUGAAACAGCUCCGUUUCUCUGGGAAGAUUUGGGGAGUCAAACACCUGCUUGGGGGGAGCUCUUGAACUUCAAUAAAAGUUCUGCACUGAGUUUUCCCUAUGUCAACGUGACUAUUGAUCGUAGAACAUCAUCUCUUGUUCCUGAGCUUCCAAGCGGCCCACCGGUGCGCUUACUCACGAGUAGACUGGGAGUUGCGUCCCACUCCUUGCCAAGUUUGGACUGCGUUUCAGAUCAACCACGAAAUACCUUGCCUAGCCUUGAAUCCUUGUUCUGGACUUCACUUCAAGAAUCUUCCUGUGAAACCUUGCUCUUUCCCCACUCAAACUUCCAGAGUUUGAGUGUGUUUCGGUUAUUUGGAUUAUAGACUUUAGACUCUAAUACUGGACAUAUAACUUCAUUUUAUUGGACUAAUUUUGAUCUUCUCUAAAAGGUCAACUGCUGGACUAUAUACUCUGCUUAUUUUUGUUUAGAACUUUUAUUGCUUUAAUAAAGAUAUUAGAUUGUU